rnacentral:rRNA from 1 species
GACGAACGCUGGCGGCGUGCCUAAUACAUGCAAGUAGGACGCAGUUGCGAACGGGGGAGUAACGCGUAGGUAACUACCUAUUAGAGGGGGAUAACUAUUGGAAACGAUAGCUAAUACCGCAUACUCGUAGAUGGACCUGCGUUGUAUUAGCUAGUAGGUAGGGUAGUGGCCUACCUAGGCAACGAUACAUAGCCGACCUGAGGAGGUGAUCGGCCAAACUGGGAAUGGGGAAAGGCCCAGGCUCCUACGGGAGGCAGCAAGAGGGAAUCUUCGGCAAUGGGGGGAAAGCUGACCGGGCAACGGCGCGGUAGUGAAGAAGGUUUUCGGAGCGGAAAGCUCUGUUGUUAAGGAAGCGGUACUUAACCAGAAAGGGACGGCUAACUACGUGCCAGCCGCCGCGGUAAUUC